UAAACUAAAGAACAAAUCAUGAUAAAAUCAACCAUUAACCAUAUUAAUAGAAAUAAAAUCCACAAAAAAGAAAUAUCAAGGCCUUAUGAUUAAAAUCCUAAUCACGACAUGGUUAAACAACUCAUGAAUUAAUUCUGGAAAAUUAAGAAACUAAAUCUAAUCUAGCAAUUAAAUUAAACCUAAUUAUACCUAAUUACUCUAAUUAAAUCUAAU
rnacentral:lncRNA from 1 species